UUGAGGUCAGUGAAAUAUAUUACAUACAACGAGUGUGUGUGUGUGUGUGUGUGUGUGUGUGUGUGUGUGUGUGUGUAAAUGUAGUCUGUCAUCUAUUCCAAGUUGAAGACCGAACAGUUUGUAAUUAAUAAUAAUCCUCUGUGUGUUUAUUUGGAACCAAGCAGCUGCAAGACACAGGAAAACUUCUGGCUGCAAAAGGUAUGCACCUGAGUUUUGAAGGGGGCCCGUGUCCAUAACCCAAAAUCUUAGGCAAGAAAGGUAUAAUAUGAGAUGAUUUAUUUGAUAUACUUAUAGUACUGACCUUGUAAGAUCCCUUGAGAGAUCAGUUCUCAUAGCUGCAAGGUCUCUUGUCAUUUGAACCGGAAAUGUGCCCUAUAGGCUCACAUUUUGAAUGAUCAGUCUCUAGUUUGUGGUGCUCUUGGGUCUUGUUUUGUUUUGCUUCUGAGACAAAGUUUUACUGUGUAGCCCUGGUGGCCUGAAACUCACAAAGCUUCUCUUGCAGGGAUGAAAGGCAUGUACCACCUCACCCAACUGUGUGCUAUUUUGGAGUUUUUGGAAACUUUAGGAAUUUGGUCCUUGCCAAAGUGGAGGAAGUAACCACUUUUUCUAGUCCCACAUAAACUUCUGUUGCUGACGUGAGCAUCAUCACCAUGUCAUAUCUAUCCCAUCGUGAUGGACUGAAAUCCCUUUGAAACUGUGAACCAAAACAUACUUCUGAAGAAAAGCAGGACUGGGACAGGAGCUGGCUCCUUGGAGGAAGUAAGGGCAAGACCCAUGGUGGAUCAUGAACUAGUCAUAAACACGUCACACGUUACCACUCUGACUGGAUGAGUAACCAGAAGUCGCCUCUCUUGGUGGCCAUUAGUCACUCCCUGGUUAUCAUUCCAGCUCCCUGGUUAAGUUCACCAAGAUGAGAGAAAGGAUCACUGACUAUCAAAUAAUUUGUAUCACUAUUAUCACUUCAAACCCUUCAAACCCUGGCUUACCUAGAAGAUUCGUCCAUGCCUUUGUGACCCUACUGAGUCUCUCUGUAGAAGUCUGAAAAGGCUGCGGGACAGUAUGUUCUUCUUGCCCUCAUUAGCGCAUCAGUAAACGCCAUGCUAAGCAUGAGCCUCA